rnacentral:lncRNA from 1 species
GUUAUGGGCGGGUUUGUGCUUUUUAGACCAGCCCAAUCAGGCCACCCCCUCUCUGGGGUGGAUUCCCUACUAGAUAUGUAUAUAAUUGGGACAUUGCCACCCUCGCCCACCCCCCCCACACACACCAAUUCUUGAUUUUAAAAAAGUUCUAUUAACGACAGGCUGUGGUUGUGUUACUCUCCCAAGCCUGGAAUAUUUUAUUUAUUGAAGAAUAUUUUCAUUUCCACAGUGGUUUUAUUCUAAUCCCGCCCAUCCCCUAGGCUGCAGAGCAUCUUCAUGUGAAGAGACGGACAGAUGUCAAGAGAUUCAGGCUGCUCUAAGAAGGUGGGAGUUGUCUAAAGCAGAGGGUGGGUUCUUUUCCUUCUUGUUGGCUUCAACAACAAAAAAAAAUGGAAACCCAAGUUUAUAUGGCAAAAGGCCAAAUUAGCUGUCUAGUGUCAGAUGCAGAAAAAAAAAAAUUUUACCCUAGCUUU